UACGUAGGGUGCAAGCGUUUGUCCGGAAUUAUUGGGCGUAAAGAGCUCGUAGGCGGUCUGUCGCGUCUGCUGUGAAAACUCAGGGCUUAACCCUGAGCUUGCAGUGGGUACGGGCAGACUAGAGUGCGGUAGGGGAGACUGGAAUUCCUGGUGUAGCGGUGAAAUGCGCAGAUAUCAGGAGGAACACCGGUGGCGAAGGCGGCAUCCUGGACCGGUAUUGACGCUGAGGCGCGAAAGCCAGGGGAGCAAACAGGGAUUAGAACUACCUAGUCAGUCC
rnacentral:rRNA from 1 species